rnacentral:rRNA from 1 species
UUUCUCGAAAGUAAAAGAUCUAAUUAGAUUUACUAGUUUUUGUGUCAAAAAAAUUUGGAAAAUUUAUUUAGGUGUGAGAUGUUAAUCGCUUUUACUGAUAUCUAGUAACUUUGGAAAAAAAUUUAGUUUGGUUUAUUGGGGAAUUCUUGUUUUUUAUAUAACCUUAUAUUUUAGGGGAUGAGCUCUAAAAUAAAUUUAAAAGAUAAUAAAUAUUUAGAUUUUAGGUAGGCUUAGAAUUGGCCAUGAGAUAGUGUUAUAAGAUAGAAAUAAAGGUUUAAGAUUUAUUUUUCUUUAGUGUUUACAAAGUUUAUAAGGAAAUGUUUUAAUUAUUGAAAAUAUGAUAGUAUAAGUAGAAUUAAGUUUGGAUAAUUCAUGGAAAAUAUAAUUAGGGUUUGUAGCAAAAGAACUCGGCAAAUAAGAUUUCCGAAUGUUUAACAAAAACAUUUCCUCUUGAAAAGGAGAAGCCGCUCACUGAAAUUUAAAGAGCCGCAGUAUUCUGACUGUGCUAAGGUAGCAUAAUCAUUAGUCUUUUAAUUGGAGACUGGUAUGAAUGGUUAAACGAGAAAUCAACUUUUUUUGCUAUAAAGAUUGAAUUUAAUUUUUUAGUGAAAAAGCUAAAAUUUUUCAGAAAGACGAGAAGACCCUAUAGAGUUUUAUAUCACGAAUAAUUUUCUUUUAGUAGGUUUUUUUGAAUAAAAUUUUUUUGUGAUAUUUUGUUGGGGCGACAUUAAGAUAAGAAAAACUCUUUAUUUUGAAAACUUUACUAAAAGAAUUAACUGAUCCUUUAGAAGAGAUCAUAAGAAAAAAUUACCUUAGGGAUAACAGCGUAAUCUUUUUUGAGAGUUCUAAUCGACAAAAAGGUUUGCGACCU